CGCGGCAGCGAGCGGCGCGAGUUGGUGGCUGCGGGACUCGACGGCACGGCUCAUAUAUGCGCGAGCUGGGCAUUACUUUGAGUUCAUAUAUGUGCUUGUCACUCCAUAGGCCUUGGACAAGAUCAGUACGGUGCCGAUGGAGGCCCUCGCCGCCGGCGCCGAUGUGUCCAUGAUUGGGCAGUUUGGUGUUGGCUUCUACUCCGCCUACCUUGUUGCCGAGAGGGUCGUCGUCACCAUGAAGCACAACAACGACAGGCAGUACGUGUGGGAGUCCCAGGCCGGUAGCUCCUUCACCGUCACUCGUGAUACGUUUGGGGAGCAGCUCGGCAGGGGUACCAAGAUGGUCCUCUACCUCAAGGACGACUAGGUUAUUUGCAUCUUGAUUAGGAGAUGAUGGUGAUCAUCUUUUGUUGCGGGGAACCUGUUAGAUAAAGUUUAUGUGAUUUGAACCUGCA